rnacentral:rRNA from 1 species
GAUGAACGCUGGCGGCGUGCCUAAUACAUGCAAGUCGAGCGAAUGGAUUAAGAGCUUGCUCUUAUGAAGUUAGCGGCGGACGGGUGAGUAACACGUGGGUAACCUGCCCAUAAGACUGGGAUAACUCCGGGAAACCGGGGCUAAUACCGGAUAAUAUUUUGAACUGCAUGGUUCAAAAUUGAAAGGCGGCUUCGGCUGUCACUUAUGGAUGGACCCGCGUCGCAUUAGCUAGUUGGUGAGGUAACGGCUCACCAAGGCAACGAUGCGUAGCCGACCUGAGAGGGUGAUCGGCCACACUGGGACUGAGACACGGCCCAGACUCCUACGGGAGGCGGCAGUAGGGAAUCUUCCGCAAUGGACGAAAGUCUGACGGAGCAACGCCGCGUGAGUGAAGAAGGCUUUCGGGUCGUAAAACUCUGUUGUUAGGGAAGAACAAGUGCUAGUUGAAUAAGCUGGCACCUUGACGGUACCUAACCAGAAAGCCACGGCUAACUACGUGCCAGCCGCCGCUGUAA